rnacentral:misc_RNA from 1 species
UCUCCGUAGGUGAACCUGCGGAGGGAUCAUUACAGAGUUCAUGCCCUACCGGGUAGAUCUCCCACCCUAUGUUAUUAUUACAUUGUUGCUUUGGCGGGCCGUUAGGCUCCGGCCCGACUACCGGCCCCGGCUGGUAAGCGCCCGCCAGAGGACCCAAAACCCUGAAUAUUAGUGUCGUCUGAGUACUAUAUAAUAGUUAAAACUUUCAACAACGGAUCUCUUGGUUCUG